rfam:Kwoniella mangroviensis CBS 10435 unplaced genomic scaffold supercont2.4, whole genome shotgun sequence.
AUCUACGGCCAGAGAAUUCAGAAAAUACCGCGUCCCGUCAGAUCCGCAAAGUGAAGCGGAAUAUCGUUUGAUGAGUACCAAGGUUGGGGACAACUUGGGAAACCCAAGUGCUGUAGUUU